rnacentral:misc_RNA from 1 species
AUGUCCAUUAGCAGCAGGUAUGAUCGCGCGACGGACAUUCAGCGUGUUGAAUAAAGCCGGCAAGGUAGAUAAUUGUUGAGCAAUGUCGCUUAGCUGGAAGAAAAAUGAUAGGUCAAAACUAUUCAUCUGUAAAAGAUCGCUGAAAUUAUCCGUAUCUACUGUUAGACUUGCAAGUCGAGAUUCCACACCAGGAGGAAUUCCAACAUACAGCUCGCCUUCAAUUUUGAGGGGCUGAAUGAUUGCUUCUUCGAGAAUCUCCUGAAAUUUCUUGCCA